rnacentral:rRNA from 1 species
UACAGAGGGGGCAAGCGUUGUUCGGAAUUACUGGGCGUAAAGGGCGCGUAGGCGGCCUUCUAAGUCGAACGUGAAAUCCCUGGGCUCAACCCAGGAACUGCGUCCGAUACUGGAAGGCUUGAAUCCGGGAGAGGGAUGCGGAAUUCCAAGUGUAGCGGUGAAAUGCGUAGAUAUCUGGAGGAACACCGAUGGCGAAGGCGGCAUCCUGGACCGGUAUUGACGCUGAGGCGCGAAAGCCAGGGGAGCAAACGGG